rnacentral:rRNA from 1 species
UUAACGGAGCGAAAGCGACGUUCAACCGCAAAACAAGCAGAGGGGGCUUAGUGGUGGGGUGACUGCGUACCUUUUGUAUAAUGGGUCAGCGACUUAUAUUCUGUAGCAAGGUUAACCGUAUAGGGGAGCCGGAGGGAAACCGAGUCUUAAUUGGGCGUUAAGUUGCAGGGUAUAGACCCGAAACCCGGUGAUCUAGCCAUGGGCAGGUUGAAGGUUGGGUAACACUAACUGGAGGACCGAACCGACUAAUGUUGAAAAAUUAGCGGAUGACCUGUGGCUGGGGGUGAAAGGCCAAUCAAACCGGGAGAUAGCUGGUUCUCCCCGAAAGCUAUUUAGGUAGCGCCUCGUGAAUUCAUCUCCGGGGGUAGAGCACUGUUUCGGCUAGGGGGCCAUCCCGGCUUACCAACCCGAUGCAAACUGCGAAUACCGGAGAAUGUUAUCACGGGAGACACACGGCGGGUGCUAACGUCCGUCGUGAAGAGGGAAACAACCCAGACCGCCAGCUAAGGUCCCAAAGUCAUGGUUAAGUGGGAAACGAUGUGGGAAGGCCCAGACAGCCAGGAUGUUGGCUUAGAAGCAGCCAUCAUUUAAAGAAAGCGUAAUAGCUCACUGGUCGAGUCGGCCUGCGCGGAAGAUGUAACGGGGCUAAACCAUGCACCGAAGCUGCGGCAGCGAACGUAUCACCCAAGACAACUUUACGGAGUUGACGAUUGACGGAGCGAAGCGACGUCAAAGCGUUCAUUAAAGUCGAGUUGGCUUAGGGAUACGUUCGUUGGGUAGGGGAGCGUUCUGUAAGCCUGUGAAGGUGUGUCGUGAGGCAUGCUGGAGGUAUCAGAAGUGCGAAUGCUGACAUAAGUAACGAUAAAGCGGGUGAAAAGCCCGCUCGCCGGAAGACCAAGGGUUCCUGUCCAACGUUAAUCGGGGCAGGGUGAGUCGACCCCUAAGGCGAGGCCGAAAGGCGUAGUCGAUGGGAAACGGGUUAAUAUUCCCGUACUUGGUGUUACUGCGAAGGGGGGACGGAGAAGGCUAUGUUGGCCGGGCGACGGUUGUCCCGGUUUAAGCGUGUAGGUGUGUGUUCCAGGUAAAUCCGGUUCACUUUAACACUGAGGCGUGACGACGAGGCACUACGGUGCUGAAGCAACAAAUGCCCUGCUUCCAGGAAAAGCCUCUAAGCAUCAGGUAACAC